rnacentral:lncRNA from 1 species
GGGCGAGGAGCUGCUGUGACAGCGAAGGGGGAUUGAAGGGAGCACCUUCUCGUCGCCGCCGCUGCUGCUCCACGUCAAGUUCUCCUCCGGCGCGGGCUCACGCUCUUGUAAUGGCUCCAGCUUCAUCUCCUCGGCUUCACGUCUCGAAGACGCCUUCGUAGCCCCCGCCGCCGCCUCCUCCAUUUUCCCCGCCUUCUCAACCGCCUCCUCAGGAGAGGCUCCUCCCCCACCUCCGGAGAUCCAGCGGACCCCAGAGCCGGAGGGCAAAGAAGUUUCUCGAACCUGGGCCAUCAGAUCACUCCCCGACCUGAGGAGCAAGGCGUCUGGAAAACAGCUGCGACUGUAGAUGAAAGGAGACAGAGACUUCUGUGAAUGAUCUGCCCAGCGUCAUGGCCGCGGUGCGCAGUUAGCGCCCCCAGGACCCCUCCCAUCGGCCCUUGAGCUCAGCCCGCGGCUUCUGUCGGCUCCACCCACUCAACUGAGAGGCCCCUGGAGCUGAUGGGGAGACCGAGGCGGUUACCUGCUUCAAAGGCGAUCAGAUCAUGCCAGGGGACUGGGAACAGAAGGCUAGCGAGCGGUGGGGGUGGGGAACGGCCUGAGCUUUAGGACAGAAAGGAUGGAAACUUCUUUAAAAAAGGCGCCACCCUCUGACUGCUUUUUUGCGCCCUGCGCAGCCUCGCUUUGGUGCAGCUUCCUCUGACGUUCUUUCCCUGUAUCCUAAAAAACACUUGGGUCAACAUUUUCUCUCCAAAAUGGCUGAAAGGACGCACUUUUGGAAAAUGAACUCACAGGAAGAAAGUGUCCCUCUGUUUCUACCUAACCUAUACUUCUGUGACCCGGUGUGUUCCACUCUAAGCCGUUGCCCCUCAGCGCACUUUCGGUCCACCCAGCUCUUGCGCCCUCUCACGCUUUUUCGCGCUUGUGCUCUCACACCCCUUUUCUUGCUUCUGCGACUUCAAUUCCUAUGAUUUCUCCUAGAAUUCGGAUUACUACUCCCUCCCUUCACGCAUUUGCCACCUCUAUGGCCACCACUAUCCUCGCGCGACCCCCGAAGUCUCCGCUCCCUUUUCCCUCUCCUGCCCCCGCAACACCCCCAGCCCGGCAGUUUGUUUAAAGGUCUGGGUUACCUUGGGCCCCAGGCGCGUGAUAUAGAACGUCAGCAACUGCUGCUGUCCAGGCGCUCCUCAGCCAGCCUUCUCUCCUGACCUCUCCUCAGGGCUGGUCACAAGGGGGCCGCCCCCUGGCCCCUCCCCUCUCGACGUGCGGCCCCCAACCCCGGAUUCUGCCCUCCUGCAGUGAUGAAUGGCACCGCUGUCCCGCGCAGGCAGGCAAACCUCUUCCUGAAACAGACUCUGCUGGAGGCAACAGCAGCA